rnacentral:tRNA from 1 species
GCCUUUUUAGCUCAGUUGGUAGAGCAAUACCAUGGUAAGGUAGAGGUCGCUGGUUCAAUUCCGGUAAGAGGCACCA